GAUGAAGAACGCAGCGAAAUGCGAUAAGUAAUGUGAAUUGCAGAAUUCAGUGAAUCAUCGAAUCUUUGAACGCACAUUGCGCCCCUUGGUAUUCCGAGGGGCAUGCCUGUUCGAGCGUCAUUAUAACCCCUCAAGCUCAGCUUGGUGUUGGGGCCUGCCGCACGGGCAGCCCUUAAAAUCAGUGGCGGUGCCAUCUGGCUCUAAGCGUAGUAAUUCUUCUCGCUAUAGAGUCCCGGUGGAUGCUUGCCAUUAACCCCCAAUUUUCUAUGGUUGACCUCGGAUCAGGUAGAGAUACCCGCUGAACUUAAGCAUAUCAAUAAGCGGAGGA
rnacentral:misc_RNA from 1 species